rnacentral:rRNA from 1 species
CCUACGGGAGGCUGCAGUGGGGAAUAUUGGACAAUGGGGGGAACCCUGAUCCAGCCAUGCCGCGUGUGUGAAGAAGGCCCUCGGGUUGUAAAGCACUUUCAGUGAGGAAGAACGCCUGGUGGUUAAUACCCAUCAGGAAAGACAUCACUCACAGAAGAAGCACCGGCUAACUCCGUGCCAGCAGCCGCGGUAAUACGGAGGGUGCGAGCGUUAAUCGGAAUUACUGGGCGUAAAGCGCGCGUAGGUGGCUUGAUAAGCCGGUUGUGAAAGCCCCGGGCUCAACCUGGGAACGGCAUCCGGAACUGUCAAGCUAGAGUGCAGGAGAGGAAGGUAGAAUUCGCGGUGUAGCGGUGAAAUGCGUAGAGAUCGGGAGGAAGACCAGUGGCGAAGGCGGCCUUCUGGACUGACACUGACACUGAGGUGCGAAAGCGUGGGUAGCAAACAGGAUUAGAUACCCUUGUAGUA